AGUCGAGCGCCCAGCAAUGGGAGCGGCAGACGGGUGAGUAACACGUGGGGAUCUACCCAAUGGUACGGAAUAACCCAGGGAAACUUGGAUUAAUACCGUAUGUGCCCUUCGGGGGAAAGAUUUAUCGCCAUUGGAUGAACCCGCGUCGGAUUAGCUAGUUGGUGAGGUAAAGGCUCACCAAGGCGACGAUCCGUAGCUGGUCUGAGAGGAUGAUCAGCCACACUGGGACUGAGACACGGCCCAGACUCCUACGGGAGGCAGCAGUGGGGAAUAUUGGACAAUGGGCGCAAGCCUGAUCCAGCCAUGCCGCGUGUGUGAUGAAGGCCUUAGGGUUGUAAAGCACUUUCGCCGGUGAAGAUAAUGACGGUAACCGGAGAAGAAGCCCCGGCUAACUUCGUGCCAGCAGCCGCGGUAAUACGAAGGGGGCUAGCGUUGCUCGGAAUCACUGGGCGUAAAGCGCACGUAGGCGGAUCGUUAAGUCAGGGGUGAAAUCCUGGAGCUCAACUCCAGAACUGCCCUUGAUACUGGCGAUCUCGAGUCCGAGAGAGGUUGGUGGAACUCCGAGUGUAGAGGUGAAAUUCGUAGAUAUUCGGAAGAACACCAGUGGCGAAGGCGGCCAACUGGCUCGAUACUGACGC
rnacentral:rRNA from 1 species